ACCAAGCUUCCUACUCAUUCGUA
rnacentral:siRNA from 1 species